rnacentral:rRNA from 1 species
GCAUAUCAAUAAGCGGAGGAAAAGAAACCAACCGGGAUUGCCUUAGUAACGGCGAGUGAAGCGGCAAAAGCUCAAAUUUGAAAUCUGGUACCUUCGGUGCCCGAGUUGUAAUUUGGAGAGGGCAACUUUGGGGCCGUUCCUUGUCUAUGUUCCUUGGAACAGGACGUCAUAGAGGGUGAGAAUCCCGUGUGGCGAGGAGUGCGGUUCUUUGUAAAGUGCCUUCGAAGAGUCGAGUUGUUUGGGAAUGCAGCUCUAAGUGGGUGGUAAAUUCCAUCUAAAGCUAAAUAUUGGCGAGAGACCGAUAGCGAACAAGUACAGUGAUGGAAAGAUGAAAAGAACUUUGAAAAGAGAGUGAAAAAGUACGUGAAAUUGUUGAAAGGGAAGGGCAUUUGAUCAGACAUGGUGUUUUGUGCCCUCUGCUCCUUGUGGGUAGGGGAAUCUCGCAUUUCACUGGGCCAGCAUCAGUUUUGGUGGCAGGAUAAAUCCAUAGGAAUGUAGCUUGCCUCGGUAAGUAUUAUAGCCUGUGGGAAUACUGCCAGCUGGGACUGAGGACUGCGACGCAAGUCAAGGAUGCUGGCAUAAUGGUUAUAUGCCGCCCGUCUUGAAACACGGACC